rnacentral:lncRNA from 1 species
CUAAACCCUAAACCCUAAACCCUAAACCCUAAACCCUAAACCCUAAACCCUAAACCCUAAACCCUAAACCCUAAACCCUAAACCCUAAACCCUAAACCCCAAACCCUAAACCCCAAACCCUAAACCCUAAACCCUAAACCCUAAACCCUAAACCCUAAACCCUAAACCCUAAACCCUAAACCCUAAACCCUAAACCCUAAACCCUAAACCCUAAACCCUAAACCCUAAAAACCCUAAACCCUAAACCCUAAACCCUAAACCCUAAACCCUAAACCCUAAACCCUAAACCCUAAACCCUAAACCCUAAACCCCUAAACCCUAAACCCUAAACCCUAAACCCUAAACCCUAAACCCUAAACCCUAAACCCUAAACCCUAAACCCUAAACCCUAAACCCUAAACCCUAAACCCUAAACCCUAAACCCUAAACCCUAAACCCUAACCCCUAACCCCUAAACCCUAAACCCCAAACCCUAAAACCCUAAACCCUAAACCCUAAACCCUAAACCCUAAAACCCUAAACCCUAAACCCUAAACCCUAAACCCUAAACCCUAAACCCUAAAACCCUAAAACCCUAAACCCUAAACCCUAAACCCUAAACCCUAAACCCUAAACCCUAAACCCUAAACCCUAAACCCUAAACCCUAAACCCUAAACCCUAAACCCUAUAAACCCUAAACCCUAAACCCUAAACCCUAAACCCUAAACCCUAAACCCUAAACCCUAAACCAAACCAAACCAAAAACCAAAAAACCCGUCAUUCACUAUUCAUGCAACUUUGACCAGCAUUGACCGUCCAUUAUGGCCUCACCGGAAGGUGGUGAUGAUGAUCGGCCACCAUCCAAACCUCCCUCACAUGCCGGCGACCAUCAUACUCACCGGCCACUACUAGAUCUAUCGUCUUUACCCCCAUACAUUCACUCAACAGCUCGGCCAUGCUCCUCCACCGUCCUCCCGGAAAACGCCAUCGUUUUGGCACUUCCUGGGCACACAUCCAAGCUGCCGACAUCCUCCCUUCCUCCCCAUGGCACAAACCGGCCACUCAAAACGAAAAAAAACCAGUCAAAAACCAAAACCAGCUCACGGGUUCCUCCCCACCCCACGGUGGAUGCCGAGCCACCAACCUUGCCCUCAUCGGUCGAUCCUAAACAACUCCUAACCAUCUCUACAAACCAGCCAUGCCAUGAGUUAACCAUGCCCACCUUCGCUGCAUCCGGAUCGGGCAACAUCAGCCCGCGGCAGUCGCAACUUCACCCCGCUUCUGCGCAAGUUCCAGUUGCUACCCAAGAUCACUCUAGCAUUCAGAAACCUCCCCAUGACGAUCUGAAACAGCCACCCUAUGCCCAGAACAACGCACUUGCAGAACCUCCGUUUGCUGCUCCCGGAUCGGGCAACAAUAACUCACGGCCACCACAACUUCACUGCACUUCCGAACUAGCUCCAGUUGCUUCCAACGACCACUCUCGCUCUCGGGAACCUGCCAUUGACGAUCUGAAGCAGUCCACUCACUCCCCGAGCUCUGAGCUCACUGAACCUCAGCUUGCUGCUCACGGAGCUGGCCAUUCACCACCGCGGACAGCACACCUUCGAUCUGCAGCGGAACAAAUUUCAGCAGCCAUUACUGACCAACAUGGCUUUCGGGAACCAACUCAAGAUGACCUGAAUCAGCCUCCUCCUCUUCAGCUCCCGGAAAACAUGUUGGCAGCAGCUUCCGAAACCUCCAGCCGCGUAGAUCUCAUCUCAACUUUGACAGCAACCAUCACCGCGGCAGUCGAAGCCAUACUCCGGCCGAACUUAGCUCUGCCCACAUCAACAUCCCUCAACAUCCCCCGUUCAGCCAAUCCCACCUUUGAUAACCCACUCCACAGCCGCAGCCAAGGAGCAGCAGCAGCCGGCCCUAGAUAUUCCAAAAACACAAAACCCUAAUGCAAACCGGGUAAUAUUUACCCAAACCCAUGACCCGAGAAACCUAACCCAUAACAACCCACACCCAAACCCAAACCCAAACCCAAACCCUUGAGGCCACCCAAACCCGUAACCACCAAACCCAUCCUAAGGCCCCAAUCCAACAACCCUUAAACCAAAUUUCAGCCCAUACCCCUAAGCCAAAUUACAAUCAAACCCAACACUUUACUAAAACCCCUUUUAACCCCUCAAAAAAUUCAUAUGCUUCCAUUAUUAACCCCGCCUCAAUUUUAAAUCCGGAUGCUCCUCCUCAUCCACAGAAAUCCUUCUCAGACGUUGUUUCGGGGCCAAAGGAUUCAACAAUUUCGUUCAAACCGGCUUCUCUCAUGCGGGGGGAACCAGCGGUCAUUUUCACAACCGAGGAAAUUGCAGUUAUGGCCGAGCCGUUCAAACUGGCGCUUGUUGGUAAGUUUUCCUUUGGCCGCCCUUCCAUGGAUAUUAUUAGGAAAUUCUUUAUUUCCCUCGGAUUAAAAGGAAAUUCCCAAAUAUCUUUGCUUGAUAAUCGUCAUAUUUUAAUUAAAUUAUCAUUGGAAGAAGAUUAUUCUCGCAUUUGGGUAAGACAGACCUGGUAUGUUAAUGGCCGAGGGAUGC